rfam:Oryza sativa (indica cultivar-group) chromosome 11, whole genome shotgun sequence.
AAGAAGAGCAAUUAAGUAAGUUUCUGUGUUCAACUUUGAUAGUCCGUUUUAUUUAAAUUUUUUUAUAAUUAGUAUUUUUAUUGUUAUUAGAUUAUAAAACAUAAAUAGUACUUUAUGCGUGACUUAUUCUUUCUAGUUUUUUCAAAAAAAAUUUAAAUAAGAUGAACGAUUAAAGUUUGACACGGAAACUCAUGGCUACACUUAUU